GACGAACGCUGGCGGCGUGCUUAACACAUGCAAGUCGAACGGAAAGGCCCUGCUUUUGUGGGGUGCUCGAGUGGCGAACGGGUGAGUAACACGUGAGUAACCUGCCCUUGACUUUGGGAUAACUUCAGGAAACUGGGGCUAAUACCGGAUAGGAGCUCCUGCUGCAUGGUGGGGGUUGGAAAGUUUCGGCGGUUGGGGAUGGACUCGCGGCUUAUCAGCUUGUUGGUGGGGUAGUGGCUUACCAAGGCUUUGACGGGUAGCCGGCCUGAGAGGGUGACCGGCCACAUUGGGACUGAGAUACGGCCCAGACUCCUACGGGAGGCAGCAGUGGGGAAUAUUGCACAAUGGGCGGAAGCCUGAUGCAGCAACGCCGCGUGCGGGAUGACGGCCUUCGGGUUGUAAACCGCUUUCGCCUGUGACGAAGCGUGAGUGACGGUAAUGGGUAAAGAAGCACCGGCUAACUACGUGCCAGCAGCCGCGGUGAUACGUAGGGUGCGAGCGUUGUCCGGAUUUAUUGGGCGUAAAGGGCUCGUAGGUGGUUGAUCGCGUCGGAAGUGUAAUCUUGGGGCUUAACCCUGAGCGUGCUUUCGAUACGGGUUGACUUGAGGAAGGUAGGGAAGAAUGGAAUUCCUGGUGGAGCGGUGGAAUGCGCAGAUAUCAGGAGGAACACCAGUGGCGAAGGCGGUUCUCUGGGCCUUUCCUGACGCUGAGGAGCGAAAGCGUGGGGAGCGAACAGGCUUAGAUACCCUGGUAGUCCACGCUGUAAACGGUGGGUACUAGGUGUGGGGUCCAUUCCACGGGUUCCGUGCCGUAGCUAACGCUUUAAGUACCCCGCCUGGGGAGUACGGCCGCAAGGCUAAAACUCAAAGGAAUUGACGGGGCCCCGCACAAGCGGCGGAGCAUGCGGAUUAAUUCGAUGCAACGCGUAGAACCUUACCUGGGUUUGACAUGGAUCGGGAGUGCUCAGAGAUGGGUGUGCCUCUUUUGGGGUCGGUUCACAGGUGGUGCAUGGCUGUCGUCAGCUCGUGUCGUGAGAUGUUGGGUUAAGUCCCGCAACGAGCGCAACCCUUGUUCACUGUUGCCAGCACGUUAUGGUGGGGACUCAGUGGAGACCGCCGGGGUCAACUCGGAGGAAGGUGGGGAUGACGUCAAGUCAUCAUGCCCCUUAUGUCCAGGGCUUCACGCAUGCUACAAUGGCUGGUACAGAGAGUGGCGAGCCUGUGAGGGUGAGCGAAUCUCGGAAAGCCGGUCUCAGUUCGGAUUGGGGUCUGCAACUCGACCUCAUGAAGUCGGAGUCGCUAGUAAUCGCAGAUCAGCAACGCUGCGGUGAAUACGUUCCCGGG
rnacentral:rRNA from 1 species